AGAAUACCAAGAUUGUGUGUACACGCAGAUGUCAGCGGCAGAGAGUAAGAGACCAGAAAUGAAACAUACGAUUAUAUGAAGAUCAGCUCCGUGCAAAGGGUUAUGACAAAACACCAGACUUCAUUUUACAAGUACCAGUUGCUGUGGAAGGGCACAUAAUUCACUGGAUUGAAAGCAAAGCCUCAUUUGGUGAUGAAUGUAGCCACCAUGCCUACCUGCAUGACCAGUUCUGGAGCUACUGGAAUAGCACCUUGCUUUUCAGCCUCAAACACAGAACUUGGCAGGGAAUUGGAACUUUUGCCAGCAAUCUUUCCCAGCUCUAAACUCUAAAUGUACCUUUUCCAGAGUUGUUACUGUUCAGAAGUCUGGCUAGAACUGGAUUUGUGUUAACCUAAAAGAUUUGGGCCAGGCUUAGUCAUCUAUUGGUAUGGAUUUAUCCAGGAGCUGGACUGCAACCGGGAAAGGGGCAUCCUGCUCAAAGCCUGUUUCCCCAUGAACAUUGUCACCUUAUGCCACAGCAUAGCUUGACCCU
rnacentral:sRNA from 1 species